GAAAACAAAAGAUGAUCCUGUGAACACUGUAUCAGGCAUCAUUACUGGACUGAAAAAAGGAUCACUUGAUGGACAUGCCUGGCGUUUUGUUUAGUAUUUCUUCUCUGGCCUUAGAAGAUUAGUUUUCAAAGCGAUGGUAAAAUCAUUGAUGUAUGUCUUUUCAAGAAAAAGAAAAAAAAAAGACUCCUAAAUGCCAAACAUUUGCUCUUUGGAGCAUAGCAAGAAGAAAGGGAGAGGACCAGACGGCCACAUCCUAAGAACAGAGUAUUGUCCAGAAGGGGUCUAAAGAAGCCUGCCUUCCCCUAUGAAAGCACCUUCCAUGCUGAUAUUAUACCUCAUUUUCCGAAGGGAGUGUGGUGUGAUGGCACCUCAGAAUGGCACCCAGGAACACCUCCGUUCAAAUACCACUCCUCGCUCUUAUCAGUCAAGUUCUGCCUGUGGUUGCAUGCUUGAUUCCUGUGGGCGUGCUCUGGUUAUGUGAUCUUCAACCUGGAGGUCCACAGCACCUGAAAAACUCACCACUUUGUGGCAUAAAGAUUGAACCAGAUUGACCUGAUGUGGUUACAGUUCUGGGAAGGAGGCCUGAAGCUGUAGCUUGUGUCAG
rnacentral:lncRNA from 1 species